rnacentral:rRNA from 1 species
CGUGUAGGCGGUCCUGUGCGUUGGCAGUGACAGUGCGAGGCUUAACUUCGCAAGGUCUGCCAUCAACGGCGGGACUAGAGGAUCAGAGAGGGACAUCGAAUUCCGGGUGGAGUGGUGAAAUGCGUAGAUAUCCGGAGGAAGACCGAAGGCGAAGGCAGUGUCCUGGCUGAUGACUGACGCUGAGGCGCGAAAGCUAGGGGAGCGAACAGGAUUAGAUACCCUGGUAGUCCUAGCGGUAAACGAUGACCACUAGGUGUGGGAGGUAUCGACCCCUUCUGUGCCGGAGGAAACCUUUUAAGUGGUCCGCCUGGGGAGUACGGUCGCAAGAUUAAA